GACGGCCCCGCAUGGUGAUCUCAUCACACUCCAGGGCCAGCCUCCAGGGGCCGGGCCUGGGAUGCUAAGUUCCAUGAGGGCCGUGACUUUGGAUGACCUUCACAUCCCCAGUUCCCAGACUGGAGCCCCUGGGAGUCCCUCAACUGUGUUCGCUGACUGAAUGAUCUGAGGGCAGGUCCCCAGGCGGGAGGAGGCAGCAGAUCAGGGCAGCAGGCAGGGGCCCAGCCAGGGGGACCUCAAGGUUGGGCAAGGACUGCAGGGCUGCCCGCCAAGGUUGGUGGACACCACGAGAGGCUCCAAGGCCGGCCUGUCAGGAUCCGCCUUCCCAUGAGAACGCGUCAGUCUGGCUCCUGGGUGGACGUCAUGUGUCAGAGGGGCAGCGAGCAGCGGGCGCAGAGGGCCGGGCCUCCCCGAGACUUGCCCUGAGGCAGGAAGAGUAGUGGCGAGGAAGCCCUUCUGACUGUGGCUAUGGUGGCGCACGGGCGUGUCUGGGCGUCUGUGUGUGCAGGCGUGGGUGUGGCACACGGUGCGUGUGCUCCAGGCAUUACUCGACAGGUGUCCGUGUUCUGUUGAGCGUGGGUGAGUGCCGUGGGGGUGGCGUGCUGUGCUGUGCACAUGUGUGUGCCAGGUGUGAGGCAUGCUGUGUCUUAUGUGUGACCUGUGUUGUGUGUGCUGUAAGUGCGGUGAGGUUGUGUAUACUGUUUCUCCGUGCAUGCUGCAUGCAUGCUGUGCGUUGUCACAUGUAUGUUGUGCGUUAUGUGUGUGUCACGUGCACUGUGUGUGAUGCACCAUGCAUGUUAGGUACGUGGUAUGCUGUGCUGGUGUGUGUAUAUAU
rnacentral:lncRNA from 1 species